AGAGUUUGAUCAUGGCUCAGGAUGAACGCUAGCGGCAGGCUUAAUACAUGCAAGUCGAGGGGCAACAGGGGUAGCAAUACCUGCUGGCGACCGGCAAACGGGUGCGCAACACGUACAGAACCUUCCUUUAAGCGGGGGAUAGCCCGGAGAAAUCCGGAUUAAUACCCCAUAGUAUUAUUGAUUGGCAUCAAUUGGUAAUUAAAGAUUUAUCACUUAAAGAUGGCUGUGCGUCUGAUUAGGUAGUUGGUUGAGGUAACGGCUCACCAAGCCAACGAUCAGUAACUGGUGUGAGAGCACGACCAGUCACACGGGCACUGAGACACGGGCCCGACUCCUACGGGAGGCAGCAGUAAGGAAUAUUGGUCAAUGGACGCAAGUCUGAACCAGCCAUGCCGCGUGAAGGAUGAAGGUCCUCUGGAUUGUAAACUUCUUUUAUAUGGGAAGAAAUGCCUGCUUUAUAGCGGGUUUGACGGUACCAUAGGAAUAAGCACCGGCUAACUCCGUGCCAGCAGCCGCGGUAAUACGGAGGGUGCAAGCGUUAUCCGGAUUCACUGGGUUUAAAGGGUGCGUAGGUGGGAAUGUAAGUCAGUGGUGAAAUCUCCGUGCUUAACAUGGAAACUGCCAUUGAUACUAUGUUUCUUGAAUUUUCUGGAGGUUAGCGGAAUAUGUCUGUAGCGGUGAAAUGCUUAGAUAUGACAUAGAACACCAAUUGCGAAGGCAGCUAGCUACAGGGAUAUUGACACUGAGGCACGAAAGCGUGGGGAUCAAACAGGAUUAGAUACCCUAGUAGUCC
rnacentral:rRNA from 1 species